CCGGCGCACGGGUGAGUAACGCGUAUGCAACUUACCUAUCAGGAGGGGAUAACCCGGCGAAAGUCGGACUAAUACCGCAUGAAGCAGGGGUCCCGCAUGGGGAUAUUUGCUAAAGAUUCAUCGCUGAUAGAUAGGCAUGCGUUCCAUUAGGCAGUUGGCGGGGUAACGGCCCACCAAACCGACGAUGGAUAGGGGUUCUGAGAGGAAGGUCCCCCACAUUGGUACUGAGACACGGACCAA
rnacentral:rRNA from 1 species